rnacentral:rRNA from 1 species
UACAGAGGGUGCAAGCGUUAAUCGGAAUUACUGGGCGUAAAGCGUGCGUAGACGGUCAUGUAAGUCGGGUGUGAAAGCCCCGGGCUCAACCUGGGAAUUGCAUUCGAGACUGCAUGGCUAGGAUGCGGAAGAGGGAAGCGGAAUUUCCGGUGUAGCGGUGAAAUGCGUAGAUAUCGGAAGGAACACCAGUGGCGAAAGCGGCUUCCUGGUCCAGCAUCGACGGUUCAGGCACGGAAAGCGUGGGGAGCAAACAGG